rnacentral:misc_RNA from 1 species
GGCUGUCAUGCAUUUUAUAAUUUUAGUAUUAGAUCAUAAAGAGUCAUCAUCAUAAUGAUAACACAAUUAUUGAUUUAUAAACAUAGUUAUCAAUUUCUGUUAAAGAAAAAAGAAAACACAAUUAUCAAUUCUGACAUUUGAAAUGACUGCCACCCUUGGAAAGUUGACACGGACGUAUUUAUUCGUAGAGUGAUUAGCGUUGAAUCAUAUCGCUAGCUACCACCACAAUCGUCUUCUUGUUUUCAAAUUUUGAUCAAACUCUUUUCUUCAAUCUUUGCAAGAAGGGACUAUGGCUGACAUUGUCCUGAGUUUCGUGGUUGAUGCUGCACUGUCCAGGGUGGUUUCACUCAUUACUGAUGAAAUCAUGCUUGCUUGGAAUCUCAAGGAUGACUUGAAAGGCCUCCAAGAAUCUCUCAAAAUGAUUCGUGCUGUGCUUCAAGAUGCAGACGAACAACAACACAGGAGAGAACCUGUGAGGCUUUGGCUGAAGAAGCUCAAAGAAGUAGCUUAUGAGGCCGAGGAUGCCUUUGAUGAGUUGGCCUAUGAGAAUCUUCGAUGGAAGGUUGAAAUGCAAGAGCAAUCGGGAACGGAGGUAAACAACUUCUUUUCAUUCUCCAAAGGCACUCGUUAUGUUAAAAAAGCUGCAUUGCAUGUCAAAAUGGCCCACAAAGUUAGGAAAGUAAAUGAAUCGUUGAAUAAGAUUAAGAACGAAGCUAUGGGUUUUGGACUUCAAGUCUCAUCUAGUGACAGAAAAAUGCCUCAAAUAGAUUUGGAUCGGCUGACAGACUCAGUCCUUGACAACCCAGUUGUGGGGAGGGAAGCUGAUGUCUCUAAGAUUGUGAACUUGCUGAGUUGCUCCUGUGACCAAGUUCUUACCGUUGUUCCCAUAGUGGGGAUGGGCGGUUUGGGGAAAACAGUUUUAGCUAAAUUGGUAUGUCAAGAAGUAAUAGAAAAAAAGCUUUUUGAUCUUAAAAUAUGGGUAUGUGUCUCUGAUCACUUUGAUUACGGAAGAAUUUUAGGGGAAAUGCUGCAAACUCUUGAUGGACAUAUGGGUGGAGUUACCAACAUAGAUGCAAUACUUAUACAUCUUCCGAAGGCGUUGGAGGGCAAAAAGUUUCUACUUGUUCUUGAUGAUGUUUGGAAUAAUGAAUAUGAGAGGUGGAAUGAGUUGAAGACUUGUUUGACAAGAAUUAGUAGAAACAAUGGAAAUGCUGUUCUCGUCACAACUCGUACGGAGGAAGUGGCAUCAAUCGUUGAGACUUCUACUCAUUACACGUAUAAACUGGGUGGGUUAUCUCAUGAUGAAUGCUGGUCCAUUAUGAAGGCAAGGGCACUAAUUCGAAGUGGAAGAACAUCAAUCCCCACAGACUUGGAGGGCAUUGGAAGGGAGAUUGCCAAAAAAUGUGGAGGAGUUCCAUUAGCUGCAAAAGUUUUAGGUGGGACAAUGGGCUUCAAAAUGGACAAGGAAGAAUGGUUGUCUAUUAGAAACAGUAAUGUUUUGAGUAAGGGUAACGUUGAGUCUAUAUUGAAACUAAGUUUUGAUCACUUGCCUUCACAUCUGAAGUCAUGUUUCGCAUACUGUUCAGUUUUCCCGAAAGAUACUCAGAUAGAAAAAGAACAAUUAAUUCGGUUGUGGAUGGCUGAAGGUCUUGUAGGGAUAUCUAAUGAAGAUGAGGCCAACAAGUACUUUAAUGCCUUAGUUCAGAAUUCCUUUUUCCAAGAUGUUGAAAGGGAUGAAUAUGAGAAUGUUAGAUGGUGCAAGAUGCAUGAUCUUGUGCAUGAUCUUGCAUUGUCUUUGACCAAGUCUGAAACGUUGACUUCGGAGAAUUGUACAACUGGUGAUGAUAUAUCUUCCACUCGUCGUUUAUAUGUAGAUCGUCAAAAUGCAACAACUUUGAUAGCAUUUUUAAAAAGGGAUGCUAAGAAGUUGCUUAGUUUAUUCAUAAAGGGAAUUGCCUUUGAUGGAUCUUGGAAGUUGAAAAGGUUGCGGACUCUUAACUUGGAAGAAGCUAAUAUUGAAGAGUUGCCAUCUUCAAUUGGCAAGUUGAAACAUUUAAGAUAUCUUAAUGUCUCAAGGACUAAAAUUGAAGUGUUGCCUGAAUCCAUCACUAAGCUCUACAAUUUGCAAACAUUGAAAUUCAGUUGGUGCAAUUCACUUAAAGAGGUUCCUAGAAAUAAAAUGUGCAAUCUGAUCAGCUUGAGGCAUAUUGAAUUUUCUCUUGAUGAGCAGAUGCCAUCUAAGGUGGGGCGGUUAACUUGUCUCCAAACACUGUCAUUAUUUGUUGUUGGUCCAAGUAGGGGAGGUAGCAUACAAGAACUACAAUGCUUAAACCAACUAAGUGGGGAGUUGGUAAUAAAUCAUCUUGAGGAGGUGAGAGACAAAGAAGAAGCUAAGAAAUCAAAUCUACAGUGGAAAACGAAAUUGAAAGCCCUUCGUUUUAGAUGGAGACCUGGAGUUGAAUGGAAUUUUGAAAGAGAAAGCAACAGCAAUGAUGAGGAAGUGUUGGAAGGUCUUGAGCCUCACCCAAACAUAGAGAGAGUAAAGGUAGAAAGUUACAUGGGUGAAAAGUUCCCGCUGUGGCUGUAUAUAAUGAAAAUUUCUAGUGAAGGCGAUUCUUUCACAGUAUUCGAUAAGUUGGUGGAGCUUAAAUUGAGCAAUUGUAGAUGCUGUGAAGAACUCCCAAGGCUUGGACAUCUUCCUCGUCUUAAAACGCUCAUAAUAGAAGGAAUGCCUAACAUAAGAUGUAUAGGGAAUGAAUUCUAUGGCAUUGACAGUGGAAGCACAAGCAAUGGAGGGAAAUCGUUUCCAGCAUUAAAAAAAUUAGACUUCAGUUACAUGAAGAGUUUAGUUGAAUGGAAGGCACCACCAGUAGAUGAAGGAGGCGAAACAUCUGUAUUUUCUUGCCUUGAAAAAUUGAACAUUGGGCAUUGUCCCUUGUUGGCAAAAAUUCCAUUAAGUGAUAGUUCAUCGCUUGUCACAUUGGAAAUCGAAAAUUGUGAAAAAUUGAUUUACUUUGGGGAAUGCCUGUUGGCAUG